rnacentral:lncRNA from 1 species
AGAGAGAACAGCAAGUGACAAGACUGAGGCAGGCAGAGUGGCCGAGCGGGGUAGAGGGGCUGGAGACAGCAGUCAUGUGGAUGUUUUGGCACACAGGGGUCUGAAGGAGCCUGAUUGUUGAAGCAAAACUUCCCGUUUACCUACUGAUUGGAGGGUUUUUGAGCAUCUGGAAGCCAGAACAAAAAUGACCAUCCAUCCUCCCGCUGACCUUCCAGAUGACUGCAGGUGCAUGAGCACGCCCAGCAGGGAUCAGCUGAGCAAAAUCACCUCGCCGAAUCAUAGGCUUUUAAUAUCUGUAAGAUUUGUAAAGAUCUCUCCUUUGUUCACUCCUGGUAUUGGGGUGUGCAGGUUGGAGAAAGUCAUUCCUUCAGACUGGAGAGAAGACUGGCAAUAACACAGCAGACAAAUAAGAACCUUCAAUUUUCAAGAAACCAGUGCAGCACCGACUAGCCACUAUUGCUAUAAUCUUCACUUCCGUUUUGUAAAAUGUCAUUUUUUAAAGAAAUAAAACAUGAGAUUGACU